GAUGAACGCUGGCGGCAUGCCUAAUACAUGCAAGUCGAGCGAACAGACGAGGAUCUUGCUGCUUCGACGUUAGCGACGGGCGGGUGCGUAACACGUGGGUAACAUCCAUAUCUGAAUAGGGUAGCUACGGGACACCGGAGCUAAUAGCAGAAGAUAUUACCAACCGGAGGGUUCGCUAGUGAAAGAUGGCUUUGCUAUCACUUCUAGAUGGUCCUGCGCCGUAUUUGCGUGGUGGUAAGGGAACGGCUUACCAAGGCAACGAUACGUAGCCGACCUGCGGGGGUGAUCGGCGACACUGGAACUGAGACAAGGUCCAGACUCCGACGGGAGGCAGCAGUAGGGACUCUUGCGCGAUGGGCGAAAGCCUGACGGAGCAACGCGCCGUGAGUUGUGAAGGUCUUCGGAUCGGAAAGCUCUGUGAUUAGGGAAGAACAAAUGCGUAAGUAACAGUACACGCAUUGACGGUACCUAAUCAGAAAGCCACGGCUAACUACGUG
rnacentral:rRNA from 1 species